ACCGAAUAGAUACCCGGGUAGUCCACGCCGUAAACGAUGGAAGCUAGCCCGUUGGCAGGUUUACCUGUCGGUGGCGCAGCUAAACGCAUUAAGCUUCCCGCCUGGGGAGUACGGUCGCAAGAUUAAAACUCAAAGGAAUUGACGGGGCCCGGCACAAGCGGUGGAGCAUGUGGUUUAAUUCGAAAGCAACGCGCAGAACCUUACCAGCCCUUCGACAUCCCGGUCCGCGGUUAGGUAGAGAUCCUAUCCUUCAGUUCGGCUGGACCGGUGACAGGUGCUGCAUGGCUGUCGUCAGCUCGUGUCGUGAGAUGUUGGG
rnacentral:rRNA from 1 species